rnacentral:tRNA from 1 species
GCCUGGCUGGCUCAGAAGAGCAUGCAACUCUUGAUCUCAGGGUUGUGGGUUCAAGCCCCAUGUUGGGUG